GCGAACGGAGAAGCUGCUGCAGGGCCCAUGGCGGACACCCAGUACAUCCUGCCCAAUGACAUCGGCGUGUCUAGCCUGGACUGCCGUGAGGCCUUCCGCCUGCUGUCACCCACAGAGCGCCUCUAUGCCCACCACCUGUCCCGUGCCGCCUGGUACGGAGGCCUGGCUGUGCUGCUUCAGACCUCCCCUGAGGCCCCCUACAUCUAUGCUCUGCUCAGCCGCCUCUUCCGCGCCCAGGACCCCGACCAGCUGCGCCAACAUGCCCUGGCUGAGGGCCUUACCGAGGAGGAGUAUCAGAGUCUCAUUCUGUCACCCAGGCUGGAGUGCAGUGGCGUAAUGGUGGCCCACUGCAAACCUCCACCUCCCAGGUUCAAGCACUUCUCAUGCCUCAGCCUCCCAAGUAGCUGGAACUACAGGCGUUCCUGGUCUAUGCCGCGGGUGUUUACUCCAACAUGGGCAACUACAAGUCCUUUGGUGACACCAAGUUUGUUCCCAACUUGCCCAAGGAAAAGCUGGAACGGGUGAUCCUAGGGAGUGAGGCUGCUCAGCAGCACCCAGAAGAAGUC
rnacentral:sRNA from 1 species